rnacentral:rRNA from 1 species
GACAGAGGUGCCAAGCGUUAGGCGGAAUCACUGGGCUUAAAGCGUGUGUAGGCGGAUUGGUAAGUACCUUGUGAAAUCCCACGGCUCAACCGUGGAACUGCUGGGUAUACUGGCGAUCUUGAGCCACCUAGGGGCGAGCGGAACAAGCGGUGGAGCGGUGAAAUGCGUAGAUAUCGCUUGGAACGCCAACGGUGAAAACAGCUCGCUGGGGGUGUGCUGACGCUGAGACACGAAAGCCAGGGGAGCGAACGGG